rnacentral:rRNA from 1 species
AUGGAUAAUGCUGCAGAACUAUCCUCGCGUGCCUUCAACGACUAUUGCAUGACCUUGGGGAUUGAAGUUCAGCACUCUGUUCCACACGUCCACACUCAAAAUGGUUUGGCUGAAUCCUUAAUUAAGAGGAUCAAACUCAUUGCAAGACCUUUGUUGAUGAAUUGCAGCUUGCUAACGUCUUGUUGGGAUCAUGCAGUUUUACACGCUGCUGACUUAAUACAAUUGCGACCUACUGCAUAUCACAGUACUUCCCCUCUACAAUUGGUAUGUGGAAAUCCUCUCAGCAUUUCCCAUCUGCGUAAAUUCGGAUGUGCUACAUACAUCCCGAUCUCACCACCUCAGCGGACAUCCAUGGGCCCACAUAGAAAACUGGGGAUCUAUGUGGGGUACAAAUCGCCGUCGAUUAUUAAGUACCUGAAACCCCUUAUUGGGGAUCUAUUCACAACCCGUCACGCUGAUUGUACAUUUGAUGAGGAACACUUUCCGGCAUUAGAGGGAGAUUUCAAGUACCAGAAAGAAUGCCGGGAAAUUGAUUGGAAUGCUCUUGCCAUUUCAGCCUCUGAUCCACGUACCCAAGAGACCGAACUCCAAGUUUGGAAAAUCAUCAAUUUGCAACAUCUUGCAAAUAAUCUGCCAGAUUCAUUUACUGAUCUAAAAGGUGUUACAAAAUCCUUGAAUCCAGCCAGAAAUGCGCCUGAAAGAGUGGAGGUACCAAUUAAACCCAUUCAACUCCCCGUUCCCAAAAGAGGGGUAGUAGUACGGCCUCGACCCGGAUCCUGCUUCUCGCAAGCAGCAAAGGAGAGAGAGGAGAAACUCUUCAAAGUCAGUAAAUGCAAGUCAGCUCAACGUUGA